rnacentral:rRNA from 1 species
GGACAACUCACCAGGCCCGGACACCGUAAGGAUUGACAGACUGAUAGCUCUCUCUUGAUUCAGUGGGUGGUUGUGCAUGGCCGUUCUUAGUUGGUGGAGUGAUUUGUCCGGUUAAUUCCAAUAACGAAAAAGACUCUGUCAUGCUAAAUAUUGUCUGCUUCUCUUUUGAGCAGACAAUUCUUCUUAGAGGGACUGGCGACUCUUAGUCGCACAAGAUUAUGCAAUAA